rnacentral:rRNA from 1 species
AGAUUGAACGCUGGCGGCAGGCCUAACACAUGCAAGUCGAGCGGUAGAGAGGUGCUUGCACCUCUUGAGAGCGGCGGACGGGUGAGUAAUGCCUAGGAAUCUGCCUAGUGGUGGGGGAUAACGUUCGGAAACGGACGCUAAUACCGCAUACGUCCUACGGGAGAAAGCGGGGGACCUUCGGGCCUCGCGCCAUUAGAUGAGCCUAGGUCGAUUAGCUAGUGGUGAGGUAUGGCUCACCAAGGCGACGAUCCGUAACUGGUCUGAGAGGAUGAUCAGUCACACUGGAACUGAGACACGGUCCAGACUCCGUACGGGAGCAGCAGUGGGAAUAGUGGACAGUGGGACAAAGCCUAGACUCC